rnacentral:tRNA from 1 species
UUUAUCUUAGUUAAAUUAAUAAUAGUAGGUUGCAAGCUUACAGUUGCUUAGGCAGAUAUAA